rnacentral:rRNA from 1 species
GAGUUUGAUCCUGGCUCAGGAUGAACGCUAGCGGCAGGCUUAACACAUGCAAGUCGAGGGGUAUAGGUUUUCGGACCUAGAGACCGGCGCACGGGUGCGUAACGCGUAUGCAAUCUACCUUUUACAGAGGGAUAGCCCAGAGAAAUUUGGAUUAAUACCUCAUAGUAUUAUUGAGUGGCAUCAUUUAAUAAUUAAAGUUCCAACGGUAAAGAUGAGCAUGCGUCCCAUUAGCUAGAUGGUAAGGUAACGGCUUACCAUGGCGACGAUGGGUAGGGGUCCUGAGAGGGAGAUCCCCCACACUGGUACUGAGACACGGACCAGACUCCUACGGGAGGCAGCAGUGAGGAAUAUUGGUCAAUGGGCGCAAGCCUGAACCAGCCAUGCCGCGUGCAGGAUGACGGUCCUAUGGAUUGUAAACUUCUUUUAUUGGGAAGAAACCCGAAUUUUCUAAUUCGGUUGACGGUACCAGAUGAAUAAGCACCGGCUAACUCCGUGCCAGCAG